ensembl:lncRNA
AAGAAACGUCAGCAGCUGUAUGUUAAGCCAAACUAUGAGCUCUGUCUAAACUUAACCAAGCGGUUUUUAAUGAGAAAUAAUGGGAAGUAUGAAAAUUUGUGACGUGUGUGGUGGACUGUGUCUCUGCUGGGAGUCCUGAAAUGAUUCACUCCACCAGAGACCCUCUCAGCCUUCAAAUGAGGAAUUUCUCAUUGAUUUUUGUGUCCAUAGUGAAAGAAAAAACAAUAUAUAUGAGACCAGACACACAGAUCAAAGUUUAUAUCCAAGAAGAUGAAACAAUAGAUCAGAAGUUGAGACUGUGUCAUGAAAUGCCCUGAGAGUGCACUGAAAUCACAAACUCAUGUGGACUCAGUUGGUGCUUGUAGUGGAGGCAAAUGCAGAAAUGCAGUCUCAGAUGGAUCUGGUUUGCCAGUUUCUCUGGAGGGAGGAACAAUACCAGUGCAUGAAAAUCCCCUUUCUGCUUUUUGUUUUCUUUUUCUUUUUUGUGGUAAUUUCACAGAUAGACUUUCGUUUCUCGGAUCAGGAACUUGGACCAGUCUCGUUUUUUAGGCUUCAAUCAAACCCACAGAGGCUGAUUCUGCAGAAAUUCACUGUUAGCUGUGCACUCACUCUUUGGCUGACACGCACUGAAGUGAUGAGGACGAAAAAAAAAAAGCAGUCGGGCUGAAAAAAGCGCAAACAAGACACGAGGAGCAGCAGGAAGCAGCGUUUGUACCAAGGCUGUACGGAGGAGACAUUCAUGUGGCUGCUGUAGCCCCGGCUUCAAAGACUCAGUCAUUUUGGUGUGGCUUCACUCAAAUUCAGCACCAUGAGAUUUUACACUGUGGUUUCAUGUAUGGGUGUAGGUGUAAAGACAUAAAUAGCUGUACAUUCUGUAGGUAUAUGUGGAGGCAGGUAUGUGUAUGUAAGGGAAAGACAUCCUGAACGUGCAGUGUUUAGUGUCUCAGACCUGCAGUCAGUGACCUCCUCCGGGGCGCCUAUACAUGCAGGUGCCAUCAUUUCCACAGAAGUGCUGAGAAAACAGGCCUCAGAGGUUCGUGUCAUCAUUUCAUUCAUCAGAGUGACAGAUUCGCUGGUAGUUCAGUAAAAGUUUGCGGGUAAAAUUAAACUUUUGUAAACUUUAAACUGUUUGUUUCCACUUUGGGCCUUUUUCAGUUUUUCAUGAAACUUUAUGAAUCAAUCAGUUAUUAGAUGUGAUCGGCAACCAAAGUUUUUCACUUCAGAAUGGGUAAUACAUCCGCGCUGGAGAUUUUUUUAUUACUUGAAACAGAAAAAAGAAAGCACCCAGCUUUAACUUUAACUCGUUUGUUCUUUACAACUUUCACCCUGUCAGCAGUUCAUGUUUCUGCAUGUAUCUGAAAGCUGCAGUUACUUCAGUAAAAAAAAUCUCAAAAAGCUUUCAUGAUCAUGGAGUUUAUAUAAAAUCUGAUCAGUUUGAUGACAGUGAUGUGCAAUUCAUUUUCUCCUGGGGCCACGGGAGAAGCUAGAACCAGAUAAAAUCAUUUCUGCUCAAUAUUAAUUUGAUCUCUUUGUAAACUGCUGCUGAUAACACUAGAUCUUACAACAAGGCCCUAAUGUGACCCACUGCCGAUGCUGUGGGCCUGUGCUGGCCCACAGCAUUGGCAGUGGGUGAACUGUGGAGCUGUUUGGGGAGGAAAAACACAACAUAGCCCAUGUGUGCUCCAAGUGGGUGUCACUACACAGACCCCACAGCUGUUUUGCCCUUUGGGACCUUGUUUGACUUACUCACAGAAAACCCAUGUAGACCCGCAGCAGUUUUGCCCUUUUGGAACGCUAAUAGGGAAGUCUAUUGUUAUCCCACUAUAGACUGCCCAUAGAAAACCCUGAAUCCCAUGAUGGUUUUCCGUGGACCAUCCAUAGUGGCAAAACUGCUGACAGCUCAUGCUCACUUUGGGGCCCAAAUGUAAUAAGUGUGGAUUGGGCCCUUUUGGGCUGCAUUGUAUUUUCUAAAACAGACUCAUUUUUUUUCAUCCCUCCCUUGAGAGCAUGCUCCACAGUACAGUGGUUUAUGUGUUUGACAGUCAAGCUACUGACUAGCAGCUUUUUUUUUCUUUUUGAG